AGAGUUUGAUCCUGGCUCAGGACGAACGCUGGCGGCGUGCCUAACACAUGCAAGUCGAACGGAGUUGAAAGGAGCUUGCUUUUUUCAACUCAGUGGCGGACGGGUGAGUAACGCGUGAGUAACCUGCCUUUCAGAGGGGGAUAACGUUCUGAAAAGAACGCUAAUACCGCAUAAGAUUGUAGCUUCGCAUGGAGCAGCAAUCAAAGGAGCAAUCCGCUGAAAGAUGGACUCGCGUCCGAUUAGAUAGUUAGCGGGGUAACGGCCCACCAAGUCGACGAUCGGUAGCCGGACUGAGAGGUUGAUCGGCCACAUUGGGACUGAGACACGGCCCAGACUCCUACGGGAGGCAGCAGUGAGGGAUAUUGGGCAAUGGGGGAAACCCUGACCCAGCAACGCCGCGUGAGGGAUGACGGUUUUCGGAUUGUAAACCUCUGUCCUCUGUGAAGAUAGUGGCGGUAGCAGAGGAGGAAGCUCCGGCUAACUACGUGCCAGCAGCUGCGGUAAUACGGAAGGUCCGGGCGUUAUCCGGAUUUAUUGGGUUUAAAGGGAGCGUAGGCCGUCUUAUAAGCGUGUUGUGAAAUGUCGGGGCUCAACCUGGGCAUUGCAGCGCGAACUGUGAGACUUGAGUGCGCAGGAAGUAGGCGGAAUUCGUCGUGUAGCGGUGAAAUGCUUAGAUAUGACGAAGAACUCCGAUUGCGAAGGCAGCCUGCUGUAGCGCAACUGACGCUGAAGCUCGAAAGCGUGGGUAUCGAACAGGAUUAGAUACCCUGGUAGUCCACGCGGUAAACGAUGGAUGCUCGCUGUUUGCGUCUGACGUAAGCGGCCAAGCGAAAGCGUUAAGCAUCCCACCUGGGGAGUACGCCGGCAACGGUGAAACUCAAAGGAAUUGACGGGGGCCCGCACAAGCGGAGGAACAUGUGGUUUAAUUCGAUGAUACGCGAGGAACCUUACCCGGGCUUGAACUGUAGGCGAACGAUUCAGAGAUGAAGAGGCCCUUCGGGGCGCCUAUGGAGGUGCUGCAUGGUUGUCGUCAGCUCGUGCUGUGAGGUGUCGGCUUAAGUGCCAUAACGAGCGCAACCCUUGUUCGUAGUUGCCAUCGGUUAAAGCCGGGCACUCUGCGAAGACUGUCUCCGUAAGGAGUGAGGAAGGUGGGGAUGACGUCAAAUCAGCACGGCCCUUACGUCCGGGGCUACACACGUGUUACAAUGGCAUGUACAGAAAGCUGGGUGUAUGCAAAUACGCUCGAAUCCCUAAAACAUGUCUCAGUUCGGACUGGGGUCUGCAACCCGACCCCACGAAGCUGGAUUCGCUAGUAAUCGCGCAUCAGCCAUGGCGCGGUGAAUACGUUCCCGGGCCUUGUACACACCGCCCGUCAAGCCAUGAAAGCCGGGGGCGCCUAAAGUCCGUGACCGCGAGGGUCGGCCUAGGGUGAUACCGGUGAUUGGGGCUAAGUCGUAACAAGGUA
rnacentral:rRNA from 1 species